UGCGAUCAUACCAGCACUAAUGCACCGGAUCCCAUCAGAACUCCGCAGUUAAGCGUGCUUGGGCGAGAGUAGUACUAGGAUGGGUGACCCCCUGGGAAGUCCUCGUGUUGCACU
rnacentral:rRNA from 1 species